GAAAUGCGAUAAGUAGUGUGAAUUGCAGAAUUCAGUGAAUCAUCGAAUCUUUGAACGCACAUUGCGCCCUUUGGUAUUCCUUAGGGCAUGCCUGUUCGAGCGUCAUUUGAAAACUCAAGCUCAGCUUGGUGAUGGGUGUCUGUCUCCGCCCCGCGGGGACUCGCCUCAAAAGCAUUGGCGGCCGGUACGUUGGCUUCGAGCGCAGCAGAAACGCGAACUCGGGGCUGGCGGAUCGGCGACCAGAAGUAUCUUCUUUACAGCUUGACCUCGGAUCAGGUAGGGAUACCCGCUGAACUUAA
rnacentral:misc_RNA from 1 species